rnacentral:rRNA from 1 species
UACGUAGGGUGCAAGCGUUAAUCGGAAUUACUGGGCGUAAAGCGUGCGCAGGCGGUUAUGCAAGACAGAUGUGAAAUCCCCGGGCUCAACCUGGGAACUGCAUUUGUGACUGCAUAGCUAGAGUACGGUAGAGGGGGAUGGAAUUCCGCGUGUAGCAGUGAAAUGCGUAGAUAUGCGGAGGAACACCGAUGGCGAAGGCGGCCCCCUGGUUGGAUACUGACGCUGAGACGCGAAAGCGUGGGGAGCAAACAGG